rnacentral:rRNA from 1 species
UUGACCUCGAAUCAGGUAGGAAUACCCGCUGAACUUAAGCAUAUCAAUAAGCGGAGGAAAAGAAACCAACAGGGAUUGCCUCAGUAACGGCGAGUGAAGCGGCAACAGCUCAAAUUUGAAAUCUGGCCCUAGGCCCGAGUUGUAAUUUGCAGAGGAUGCUUCGGGCGCGGUGCCUUCCAAGUCCCCUGGAACGGGGCGCCGGAGAGGGUGAGAGCCCCGUACGGUUGGCGGCCAAGCCUGUGUGAAGCUCCUUCGACGAGUCGAGUAGUUUGGGAAUGCUGCUCUAAGCGGGAGGUAGACCCCUUCUAAAGCUAAAUAUAGGCCAGAGACCGAUAGCGCACAAGUAGAGUGAUCGAAAGAUGAAAAGCACUUUGAAAAGAGGGUUAAACAGCACGUGAAAUUGUUGAAAGGGAAGCGCUUGUGACCAGACGUGCGCCGGGGUGUUCAGCGGGCGUUCUCGCCCGUGCACUCGCCUCGGCGCAGGCCAGCGUCGGUUUGGAUGGGGGGAUAAAGGCGCCUGGAAUGUGGCUCCCUCGGGAGUGUUAUAGCCAGGCGUGCCAUGCUCCCGUCCGGACCGAGGUACGCGUUCUGCAAGGACGCUGGCGUAAUGGUCCCCAGCGACCCGUCUUGAAACACGGACCAAGGAGUCGAGGUUUUGCGCGAGUGUUUGGGUGUUAAACCCGCACGCGUAAUGAAAGUGAACGUAGGUGGGAGCUUCGGCGCACCACCGACCGAUCCUGAUGUUUUCGGAUGGAUUUGAGUAAGAGCGUAGGGCCUCGGACCCGAAAGAUGGUGAACUAUGCUUGGAUAGGGUGAAGCCAGAGGAAACUCUGGUGGAGGCUCGCAGCGGUUCUGACGUGCAAAUCGAUCGUCAAAUCUGAGCAUGGGGGCGAAAGACUAAUCGAACCAUCUAGUAGCUGGUUACCGCCGAAGUUUCCCUCAGGAUAGCAGUGUUGUUCUUCAGUUUUAUGAGGUAAAGCGAAUGAUUAGGGACUCGGGGGCGCUAUUUAGCCUUCAUCCAUUCUCAAACUUUAAAUAUGUAAGAAGCCCUUGUUACUUAAUUGAACGUGGGCAUUCGAAUGUAUCAACACUAGUGGGCCAUUUUUGGUAAGCAGAACUGGCGAUGUGGGAUGAACCAUACGGGGGGUUAAGGUGCCAGAGUAGACGCUCAUCAGACACCACAAAAGGCGUUAGCACAUCUUGACAGCAGGACGGUGGCCAUGGAAGUCGGAAUCCGCUAAGGACUGUGUAACAACUCACCUGCCGAAUGUGCUAGCCCUGAAAAUGGAUGGCGCUCAAGCGUCUCACCCAUACCCCCCCCUCAGGGUAGAAACGAUGCCCUGAGGAGUAGGCGGCCGCAGUGCUGUGUGAC